UGUGCCUUGAUUCAUUUUAUUACCAACAUCUUAUAGUACAAAGCGAUAAUUAUAAUGUUUAUGAAAUUAUGAAGAAAAUAAAAUAAAUUAAAAAUACAAUUAUUGGGAGCGAGCAAAAUACUAAACAAAUUUUGAAUAUUUUAGGAUAAGUUGUAAUGCAUAGAUUUUAAGAACUCAUAUAUACAUCGAUUUUUUUCGCAAAUCAAUGCAUACAUUUUUGAUUGACUAUUUAGACAAUCAGCAUCAGUCACGCAUUCAAUAAACUCUGUAACAAAGAAAGUGAAUUAAAUAAUAUUAAUAAAAUAAGAUAAAGUAUAGUCUAAAAAAAAACAAAGUAAAGAAGGAAAUUUGGAAAGUAUAAUAAAUAACUUACUGGGUUCGGGUUCGUUCUUUGCAACAAGAAAUAGAGAAAAAAAUAAAAUUAUAACAUACACAAACUU
rnacentral:lncRNA from 1 species